rnacentral:rRNA from 1 species
AACGAACGCUGGCGGCAUGCCUAACACAUGCAAGUCGAACGAACCCUUCGGGGUUAGUGGCGCACGGGUGCGUAACGCGUGGGAAUCUGCCCUUUGCUUCGGAAUAACAGUUAGAAAUGACUGCUAAUACCGGAUGAUGUCUUCGGACCAAAGAUUUAUCGGCAAGGGAUGAGCCCGCGUAGGAUUAGGUAGUUGGUGGGGUAAAGGCCUACCAAGCCGACGAUCCUUAGCUGGUCUGAGAGGAUGAUCAGCCACACUGGGACUGAGACACGGCCCAGACUCCUACGGGAGGCAGCAGUGGGGAAUAUUGGAAAAUGAGCGCAAGCCUGAUCCAGCAAUGCCGCGUGAGUGGUGAAGGCCUUCGGGUCGUAAAGCUCUUUUACCAGGGAUGAUAAUGACAGUACCUGGAGAAUAAGCUCCGGCUAACUCCGUGCCAGCAGCCGCCGUAACAC